rnacentral:tRNA from 2 species
ACUCGGAUAGCUUAAUUAUUAAAGCUUAAUAUUGAAGAUAUUACGAUAAAAUUUAUUUUUCUGGGUA